rnacentral:rRNA from 1 species
UACGUAGGGGGCAAGCGUUGUCCGGAUUUAUUGGGCGUAAAGAGCGUGUAGGCGGCCUGACAGGUCUGCUGUGAAAACUCGAGGCUCAACCUCGAGAUGUCGGCGGAAACCGUCUGGCUAGCGUCCGGAAGAGGAGAGUGGAAUUCCUGGUGUAGCGGUGAAAUGCGCAGAUAUCAGGAAGAACACCUAUGGCGAAGGCAGCUCUCUGGGACGGUACUGACGCUGAGACGCGAAAGCGUGGGGAGCGAACAGG